AUUGAACGCUGGCGGCAUGCCUUACACAUGCAAGUCGAACGGCAGCACGGGAGCAAUCCUGGUGGCGAGUGGCGAACGGGUGAGUAAUAUAUCGGAACGUGCCCAGUCGUGGGGGAUAACGUAGCGAAAGCUACGCUAAUACCGCAUACGAUCUAUGGAUGAAAGCGGGGGAUCGCAAGACCUCGCGCGAUUGGAGCGGCCGAUAUCAGAUUAGGUAGUGGGUGAGGUAAAGGCCCACCAAGCCGACGAUCUGUAGCUGGUCUGAGAGGACGACCAGCCAUACUGGCACUGAGACACGGCCCAGACUCCUACGGGAGGCAGCAGUGGGGAAUUUUGGACAAUGGGCGCAAGCCUGAUCCAGCAAUGCCGCGUGCAGGAUGAAGGCCUUCGGGUUGUAAACUGCUUUUGUACGGAACGAAACGGCGAGCUCUAAUACAGUUUGCUAAUGACGGUACCGUAAGAAUAAGCACCGGCUAACUACGUGCCAGCCGCCGCCGUAA
rnacentral:rRNA from 1 species